rnacentral:rRNA from 1 species
CCUACGGGAGGCAGCAGUGGGAAAUAUUGCACAAUGGGCGCAAGCCUGAUGCAGCGACGCCGCGUGAGGGAUGACGGCCUUCGGGUUGUAAACCUCUUUCAGCAGGGAAGAAGCGAAAGUGACGGUACCUGCAGAAGAAGCACCGGCUAACUACGUGCCAGCAGCCGCGGUAAU